UACGAAGGGGGCUAGCGUUACUCGGAUUGACUGGGCGUAAAGGGCGCGUAGGCGGUUUGUACAGUCAGGCGUGAAAGCCCCGGGCUCAACCUGGGAAUUGCGCUUGAUACUGCGGCGCUGGAAGGUGGGAGAGGAUGGCGGAAUUCCCAGUGUAGAGGUGAAAUUCGUAGAUAUUGGGAAGAACACCGGUGGCGAAGGCGGCCAUCUGGCCCAUUUUUGACGCUGAGGCGCGAAAGCGUGGGGAGCAAACAGG
rnacentral:rRNA from 1 species